AAAAAUCAGAAUAUGCUCAUGAGAGAAUUUUUAGAAAAAUUUAGACCAAAUGUGAGGCAAAGUAAUAUCUUCAAAUCUGUUUCUUUUUUGAGAUAAGAAAAAAAGAAAGAAAUUGUUGAAUACAUUUGGCAAUUUAAACUAGUAGUAUAUUAGUGCAUAGAAAUUCUUUUCAUAAAUGAUACUCUCACUCAUUUUUUAAUCUAAGAAUUCAAUAGUGAGAGAAUAAUUAGAAAUAUCUUUGAAAAAAGAUAUUUUUAGUUAUUAUUAAGUUAUUAUAUAAUACAAUCAUGUGUAGAAGUGAUUCUAAGUAAUUUUAAUAUAAAAA
rnacentral:lncRNA from 1 species